rnacentral:antisense_RNA from 1 species
GUGGGAGCGAGCCUGCUCGCGAAGACGGCGUGUCAGUCAUCGUCAUUGUUGAAUGACAGAUCGCUUUCGCGAGCAGGCUCGCUCCCAC